CGGGUGCUUGCACCUGGUGGCGAGUGGCGAACGGGUGAGUAAUACAUCGGAACGUGUCCUGGAGUGGGGGAUAGCCCGGCGAAAGCCGGAUUAAUACCGCAUACGCUCUGUGGAGGAAAGCGGGGGAUCUUCGGACCUCGCGCUCAAGGGGCGGCCGAUGGCAGAUUAGCUAGUUGGUGGGGUAAAGGCCUACCAAGGCGACGAUCUGUAGCUGGUCUGAGAGGACGACCAGCCACACUGGGACUGAGACACGGCCCAGACUCCUACGGGAGGCAGCAGUGGGGAAUUUUGGACAAUGGGGGCAACCCUGAUCCAGCAAUGCCGCGUGUGUGAAGAAGGCCUUCGGGUUGUAAAGCACUUUUGUCCGGAAAGAAAUCUUNUGAGCUAAUACCUCGGGGGGAUGACGGUACCGGAAGAAUAAGCACCGGCUAACUACGUGCCAGCAGCCGCGGUAAUACGUAGGGUGCGAGCGUUAAUCGGAAUUACUGGGCGUAAAGCGUGCGCAGGCGGUGAUGU
rnacentral:rRNA from 1 species